rnacentral:rRNA from 1 species
CAGCAGCCGCGGUAAUACGUAGGUCCCGAGCGUUGUCCGGAAUUAUUGGGCGUAAAGCGCGCGCAGGUGGUUUAAUAAGUCCGAUGCGAAAGCCCACGGCUCAACCGUGGAGGGUCAUUGGAAACUGUUAAACUUGAGUGCAGGAGAGAAAAGUGGAAUUCCUAGUGUAGCGGUGAAAUGCGUAGAGAUUAGGAGGAACACCAGUGGUGAAGGCGGCUUUUUGGCCUGUAACUGACACUGAGGCGCGAAAGCGUGGGGAGCAAACAGGAUUAGAUACCCGUGUAGUCCCUGUCUCUUAUAC